GGACGAAGAUGAUGAGAUACUUGUCAUGAGGUAGCUCAUAGGAGUUCCAUUGGGUUCAAUAUGUUCACCACGACAUGAAUAGGCUAAUGCUGAAAGAAAACAUAUUUUAG
rnacentral:sRNA from 1 species